UUUCGUUUUAUCAUAAUAAGCAGAUUCAAGAUUACAUAUAAACAUAAAUCGUUUCAAGAAGCCUAAUUUUGUUUCUUAUAUAUAGUUUCCCAGUCAUAAAAUUCAUCUUGAAUUAUUACACAAUAUAUGAUAAAUGUUGGAACAGCUCCACCAUACUCCUCUUAGAUGAAUUUACCGCCACCCCCAUGCAUACUUCCACUCCCAUGCAUACUUCCACCACCAUGUUUACUUCCACCUCCAUGCAUACUUUCACCACCAUGUUUACUCCCACCUCUAGGUGAACUUCCACCGUCCGGUGAACUUCCACCGCCGGGUGAACUUCCACCUUCAGGUGAACUUCCACCCAUAGAUGAACCUUCUUCACCCAUGGAUGAGCCUCCACCCAUGGACUUACCUUUUUUACCCAUUCCACCCAUAGAUGACUUCUUGCCCUCGGAUUUACCUCCUCUCCCAGAUUUACCUUCACCCAUGGACUUACCUU
rnacentral:lncRNA from 1 species